GACGAAGGGGGCUAGCGUUGUUCGGAAUUACUGGGCGUAAAGGGCUCGUAGGCGGCCAACUAAGUCAGACGUGAAAUCCCUCGGCUUAACCGGGGAACUGCGUCUGAUACUGGAUGGCUUGAGGUUGGGAGAGGGAUGCGGAAUUCCAGGUGUAGCGGUGAAAUGCGUAGAUAUCUGGAGGAACACCGGUGGCGAAGGCGGCAUCCUGGACCAAUUCUGACGCUGAGGAGCGAAAGCCAGGGGAGCAAACGGG
rnacentral:rRNA from 1 species